CCUCUGAACCAGUCGCCACUGCUCUUACUACAGUCUGCAGACAGAGCGAUGCUCAAACCUUUCACCAACUUAUUUAAAAAGAUGGAGAAGAAAACCGUUUUUGUAAAAGUGGCUCCGACUAGACUUGACUGAAUAAAAAGUGUGUUAAAUCUAUGAUAUUUAUAAAAAUGGCUGCUGGUCCUGUCCUGGUUUCUCAAUCGAUGAAGAGGAGAAUUAAAAAUAAAACAAAAAAACAGGAACUACUGUAAAUGAAUGGAAGCUGCUCUUUAGAGAAUUCAGUUCGAUUUUUAGUACAUUGUUAUAGACCAAAUUAUGUGUGUGUGUGUGUGUGUGUCAGGGUAUGUCAGUUUUAACAGGACUGUGCACAAAUCUUGCUUGAUUUUGCAAAAAAAAAAAAAAACAGUUUUAAUGAGUCAUAAGAGAGAACACAACAUGUAACAAGGUAUGGAAACAGCAACGCACACAUGACUAAACUAAAACAUUUAACAGGAACACAGAUCUGCACAAUGGCGGCAGCCGCCCAGAGACAACACAGAGCCGGACCUAAGCCAGAACAUUAAUGAUGCUGAUAAGCCUGAUCCUGUGACAUCUACAAACUUUAAAUCUAAACUCCUGAUUCUCCAGUUUAAACAUUAAUCACUUCUCCAGGUUAAAUCUCACCUCUGAGCCCCAACACAUCUUACAUUUAUGAAACGGUUCAAACAAAGUUCUGUUUAUAGUUGACUCGCCGUCAUCAACAAUACUCAAGAACUCCAGGGUAAACAGUAAUCCAAUGACUGAUGUAGAUGAUGUGAAGAGAGGAGGUUUGUGAAACCAAA